AUGGCUCGGAGCGGCAGCGGCGCCAGCCCGUGCGACCUGGACAAGGAGUUCGCCCCCCAGAUCGCCCAGCUCCUCGCCGCCCCUUCUCUCCAGUCCGCCCAGGAAUACUAUGAGGAGCUCAUACAGUCCAAGAAACAUGACGGCAUAAGAGUCAACUACAAAGGCGAUCAUGGGAAAGGUGUUUGUGCAAACAAGGAUUUUGCUGAAGGAGACCUUAUUCUGAAGGAUCAAAUAUUGGUUGGUGCACAGCACAGUCUUAACAAGAUUGACUGCGUCGUGUGUAGUUAUUGCUUCCGCUUCAUUGGUUCUGUAGAGUUCCAGAUUGGACAUAGACUGUAUUUUCAAAGCAUUGCUUCAAGCAUUGGCUGCAGCAGUGAGAGGCACUGUCAUGGAAGUGAUGUGGGAUCAAGCACUUGCUCUUCUGGUGUAACAAAGGAAAAGAGUACUACUUUGCCAGAAGAGGUCAUAGAAUCACUUAUAACUGGCGACGUGUCACUGCCUUUCUCAGACCACUUCCCUUUACCAGAAAUUAUUGCCUGUCAAGGAUGUGAGGAAGAGCGCUACUGCAGCCAAUCAUGUGCAGACUCUGACUGGGAAUCCUACCAUUCUUUGCUCUGUGCUGGCCCCAACACUGAACCACCCCGAAGAUCUGCUCUUCACAAAUUUGUAGAGCAUGCUAAUGAAACCAAUGAUAUUUUCUUGGUUGCCGCCAAGGCUAUCACUUUCACCAUGUUGAGGUACAAGAAACUCAAAAGACAGAACGACUUCCAAAACAAAUCAGCUGAAUCAAACUUUUCUUUGCUUAUGGAAGCCUGGAAACCACUUUCCAUGGGCUUCAAAAAGAGAUGGUGGGAUUAUGUUGCUUUGCCUGAGGAUGUUGAUGCUUCCGAUGAAGAUUCAUUUAGGCAGGAAAUAAGGGAUCUAGCAUUUACGUCACUACAGCUUCUCAAGGAUGCGAUCUUCGAUGCUGAGUGUGCACCAUUGUUUUCCCUUGAGGUGUAUGGCCAUAUAAUUGGCAUGUUUGAGCUGAACAAUCUUGAUUUGGUCGUUGCAUCGCCUGUUGAAGACUAUUUCAUACACCUUGAUGAUCUUCCAGAUGAUAAGAAGGAGGAAGCUGAAAAGGCGACAGCGCCAUUGCUAGAUGCUUUAGAUGAUGACUAUGCAGUUCCUUGUGAUGGGACGGCGUUCUUUCCUCUGCAAAGCUGUAUGAAUCACUCAUGCUGUCCAAAUGCUAAAGCAUUUAAAAGGGAUGAGGAUAAUGACGGCCACGCAGUGAUAAUCGCUCUGGGGCCUAUCAGCAAGGACGAAGAGAUCACCAUCUCCUACAUCGACGAAGAACUUCCCUACGAGGAGCGGCAGGCGGAGCUCGCGGACUACGGGUUCACGUGUACCUGCUCCAAGUGCCAGGAGGAAAAGCCCAACUGA
rnacentral:rRNA from 1 species